rnacentral:rRNA from 1 species
UACGAAGGGGGCUAGCGUUGCUCGGAAUCACUGGGCGUAAAGCGCACGUAGGCGGCUUUCUAAGUCAGGGGUGAAAUCCUGGAGCUCAACUCCAGAACUGCCUUUGAUACUGGAGAGCUUGAGUCCGGAAGAGGUGAGUGGAACUCCGAGUGUAGAGGUGAAAUCGUAGAUAUUCGGAAGAACACCAGUGGCGAAGGCGGCUCACUGGCCCGUAACUGACGCUGAGGCACGAAAGCGUGGGGAGCAAACAGG